CCUACGGGGGACAGCAGUGGGGGAUAUUGCACAAUGGGGGAAACCCUGAUGCAGCGACGCCGCGUGUGGGAAGACGGUCUUCUGGAUUGUAAACCACUGUCCCCAGGGACGAAAAUGACGGUACCUGGGGAGGAAGCUCCGGCUAACUACGUGCCAGCAGCAGCGGUAAUACGUAGGGAGCAAGCGUUGUCCGGAAUUACUGGGUGAAAAGGGAGCGUAGGCGGGGAUGCAAGUUGGGUGUCAAAACUACCGGCUCAACCGAUAGUCGCACUCAAAACUGCAGCUCUUGAGUGAAGUAGAGGCAGGCGGAAUUCCUAGUGUAGCGGUGAAAUGCGUAGAUAUUAGGAGGAACACCAGUGGCGAAGGCGGCCUGCUGGGCUUUUACUGACGCUGAGGCUCGAAAGUGUGGGGAGCAAACAGGAUUAGAUACCCCAGUAGUC
rnacentral:rRNA from 1 species